UACGUAGGGUGCAAGCGUUGUUCGGAAUCAUUGGGCGUAAAGCGCGUGUAGGUGGUUAUUUAAGUCGAGUGUGAAAUCCCUGGGCUCAACCGAGGAAGUGCAUUCGAAACUGAAUAGCUAGAAGAUGGUAGAGGAAGGUGGAAUUCCUAGUGUAGAGGUGAAAUUCGUAGAUAUUAGGAGGAAUACCGGUGGCGAAGGCGGCCUUCUGGGCCAUUCUUGACACUGAGACGCGAAAGCGUGGGGAGCAAACAGG
rnacentral:rRNA from 1 species